UAACAAUAGUAAAUUUUUGCUUCAAGCUGGAAUUGAUACACUGAAUUGGUGGAGUUUAAACAUGAUAAUAAUAAUAACCUAUAUGGUGCAGCGGGUUAAGGAUCUGGUGUUGCUGCAGCUUUGGCACAGGUUGCAGCUGUGGCGCGGGUUUGAUCCUUGGCCUGGAAACUUCCAUGUGCCACAGGUGCAGUCAGAAAGGAAACCCACCAUAAAAAUGUGUUGUUAUGGAUUAAAAAGAAAAUCAGGAACCCCGAUAUUUGGUCACAUCAAGUCCCUCCUUUUUGAAUAUUAAAAAAAAGUGGGGGGAGAGGCUCUCCCUAUAUCUCUAAUAUUUUAUUAAGUGCUUUAAGGGAAACAAGACCUGGCAAAUUGUUGACAUUUGUUAAAUCUGGGUAGUGAGUACCAUGUCCCUUGUAUUCUCUAACACUUAUCUGUGUGUUGUACAUAGUUCAUUAAAAACUUUAAAGAGGAGUUCCUGUCGUGGCUCAGUGGUUAACGAAUCUGACUAGGAACCACAAGGGAUUGAACCCGCAACCUCAUGGUUGGAUUUGCUAACCUCUGCGCCACAAUGGGAACACCCAGGUAAAUCUUUUACUCUAUCAAACCAUAGCUACAAGUGCCCAGUUUUAAGAUUUUUAAAAGUAGUUUUUGGGGGAGUUCCCUGCUAGCCUAGCAGUUAAGGAUUCUGUGUUGUCAGUGCUGUGGCUUAGGUUAUUGCUGCGGCAUGGAUUUGAUCCCUGGCUCAGGAACUUUACCGGGAACUUUCAAGAAUUUUUGCAUGCUUCAGGCAACCCCCCCACCCACAAAAGAUUUAACCUUUUCUUGUAACUUAAAGUGUUUAGAUAUCAGGAAUUCUUCACUUAGUGAUUGAAGCGUAUGGAGUCUGCUUGGCCCUUACUUGGUGCAAACACGUAGCUCUUAGCCUGAAGCAGGGGUCAGCAGACUUUUGUGUAGAGGGUGAAAUGGUAAAUGUUUUGGCUUUGUGGGCUAGAUGGUCUUUGUUCCAGCUACUGCACUCUGCCCUUGGAGCCCCUGGCAUGGAUAAUAUGUAAGCAAAUGCACAUGGUUGUUAUAACACUUUAUUUACAUCAGUGGGUUUCAGGCCAGACCUGGUCACCCUUGCCUAGUCUUUCUAAAGGUGCCUAAUAAACACUUUUACUGAAAGGACGAUGGCCUCUUCUCUUAAGCCUUGAAAUUUGGGGUGUGAGAUGAAUUUCCUUUUCCUCCUUGUCCACACCCAUGUAUUUGAGGCUUUAGAAGUCCUGUGUUAUGAGAAUUGAACCGAAGACUUGCUGGGCCAAGGUCCGUGGGGUUACGUGUAUCCACAAGUGAGUGGAUGAGCAAAUUCACAUAUUUAUCUUUUAUGUUAUAAAUUUAGAACUCUUGGGCACUUAGCUGGCUGAUAAACUUCAUUUUCUUUAAUAGAAGUGUCUAUUGUGAUGUCCCACAUAGUAGCCAGUAGGCUCAAAGUUCUGUCGAGCAACACUGGUCUAGAAUUUUGACUUAGGAAUUAGAGGAAAAAAGUCGUAGGGAUGAUAUUAAAGCAUAAUCACUAACUAAUGCUUCCGUUAUCUUUUCAAAGAGAUACUGUGUUUUACAGUUCUUUACUGGGGAGAAUUUUUUUCAUGGACAGGAUUAGAAGGCAGAAGUAUUUCUCUUUAUGUACAAGUUCUGUCUUUAGGUUGAAAAUCAAACUUCUCGAAACAUGUUAUGCUUAUACCUCAGAGUAAACAAGCACAUAUAACAUCAUUUUGAAGUUAUACUAACUAAAUGAUUGUAAAGAAGACAUCACUCAGCUGAUGGAUGCCUCUGUGAGGUUGUAAACUCCGCAUCCAGACUGUACUUAUGACAAAGCCAGGUGGUCUUUUUGUGGCCCACCCCCAAUCCUUUCCCCAUUGAUCCCCCCACCCCAUCGAUUUUUUUUUUUUUUUUUGGUCUUUUUAGGGACACAUCUGUGGCAUAUGGAGGUUCCCAGGCUAGGGGUGGAAUUGGAGCUACAGCCGCUGGGUUAUGCCACAGCUACAGCAACGCCAGAUUCGAGCCGUGACUGCAACCUACACCACAGCUCAUGGCAGCUCCAGAUUCUUAACCCACUGAGCGAGAUCAGGGAUCAAACCUGUGUCCUCAUGGAUACCAGUCAGAUUAGUUUCUGCGGAGCCAUGAUGGACUCCCCCCCAUUGAUUUUAUUUCAACUCUAAGACCUAGGAUUUCUAUAACUCUUUUAUCCUUCCUUUCCACCUUUGAACAGGUGAUGAAGCGGGUUAAGGAUCCAGCUUUGUCACUGCAGCAGCUCAGGUGGCUGCUCUGGCUCGGAUUUCAUCCCUGGUCCGGGAACUUCCAUGUGCUGCGGGUGUGGCCAAAAAAUCCAGAAACAAACAAAUUACAGCGAAUUCCCCUAAGCUAAACAUGUCUUUUCUUGUUUCACUGUUCCGAUAAAUGCUGCUCAUUUGUCUGAGCCAGGGACGGGCUUAGAGUAGACUCCCUCUUCCCCCUCGCUGUCUGUGACCCACAGUUGUUUCCCUCUCCUCUCUCCCCACUCCUCUUGCCCUGGUCUGUCUCCCGAGUUACUUUACGACUUGUAAACCAGUCUGGCUGUUCAACCUUGUGCCCUUCCGAUGUGUUUUUCACCACCGCAGUCCUUUUGAUCUUUUUGUUUUGUUUUAUAACAGCCCUAUAAUUCGUAUACCAAACCAGUCACCCAUUUAAAGCAUACAUACAAUUCAAUUAUUAUUAUUAUUAUUAUUAUUUGCUUUUUAGGGCCACACCUGCAGCAUGUGGAAAUUCGCAGGGUAGGGGUCCAGUCAGAGCUACAGCUGUGGGCUUACACCACAACCACAGCAAUGCUAGAUCCGAGCUGUGUCUUCAACCUACACCACAGCUCACGGCAGUGCUGGAUCCUCAGCCCACUGACCGAGGCCAGGGAUCGAACUCAAAUCCUCAUGGUUACUAGUCAGAUUCAUUCCCACUGUACUGCAAUAGAACUCCUCAAUUAUUUUUAGUAUGUUCACGGAGUUGUGCAACCAUCAUCACAAUCAGUUUGGGAACAUUUAGUUGCUCCCAGAAGAAACCUUGUAUUCAUUGGCAGUCACUCCCAAUUUCUUCCACACCCAUCCCAGUCAUAAGCAACCACCAGUCUGCUUUCUGUCUCCGUAGACUUGCCUAUUCUGGACAUUUCACACAAAUGGACUCAUAUAUAGUCUUUUGUGACUGGCUCCUGUGACUUAGCAUAAUGUUUUCAAGGUUCAUCCAUGUUGUAAUGUACAUCUGUAUUUCAUUCCUUUUUAUUGCCAAAUAAUUGUCUGUUAUAUGGAUAUACCACAUUUUAUUUAUCCAUUCAUUAGUUGAUGGGUAUUUGGAUUGUUUCUGGUUUUGGCUGUUAAAAAAUGCUCUGUAAACGUUCGUGUCCAGUUUUGUGUUGACAUAUUUUUUUCAUUUCUCUUGGGUAGGUACCUAGGGAUGAAAUUGUUGUGUCGUAUGAUCCCUUUAUGUUUAAUAUUUGGAGCAGUUGCCAAAUAGUUCUUCAAAGUGUCUGUACCAUGUUGUACUUCCACCAGCAACACAUGGAUAUUCCAGUUUCUCCACAUCCUUUUUUUUUUUUUUUUGUCUUUUUGUCUAUUUUUUUAGGGCUGUACCUGCGGCAUAUGGAGGUUCCCAGGCUAGGGGUCUAAUCAGAGCUACAGCUGCCGGCUAUGCCAGAGCCACAGCAACGCCAGAUCUGAGCCGUGUCUGCAACUUACACUUCAGCUCACGGCAACGCCACCACAUCCUUAACCCGCUGAGCAAGGCCAGGGAUCAAACCUGAAACCUCAUGGUUCCGAGUCACUUCACAUGAUGGGAACUUCUCCACAUCCUUGAUAACACUUUUUUUUUGAUUAUAGCCAUUCUGGGGUGUGUGAACUGAUCUUUUCACAGUUCUGAUUUGCCUUUCCCUAAUGGUGUUUAGCAUCUUUUCUUGUAUUUAUUGGUCCUUUGCUAUCUUCUUGGAGCCUUUUGAUCUUUUAAGAACACAAAUUUGAUCCUGGGUAAAGCCCCACCUCUGGUGGCAAACAUUCUUCCAUUCUUUGCCUUUUCAUUUCUUACUUACUAAUGUUUUGGGCUUCAGUUUCGAUGCAAUUUCCUUCAGGAAGCCUUUUCUGACCCCCAUUAUUAGCACUCAGCCCAUCAUGGUGUGACUGUUUAUCUGUACUUCCUUUCCCAGCCAGACAAUUGGCUCCAUCAGCAGGGAUUGUGUCUGGCACAUGGUUGGCUGAAGGACUGAAUAUAUGGAUGAGUGUAGGUUUAAACAAAAAAACCUUAAAGUGUGAGUUCCCUGGUGGCUCAGCAGGUUAAGGAUCCAGCAUUGCCAGUGCUAUGGCUCGGGUCCCUGCUGUGGUGCUGGUCCAGUCCCUGGCCUGCAACUUUUGACUGCUGCAGGCGUGGCCAAAACAAAACAAGACUUAGAGGUUCUUUUUUUUUUUUUUUUUUUUUUGGUCUUUUUAGGGUCUCACUGUUGGCAUACGGAGGUUUCUAGGCUAGGAAUCCAGUCGGAGCUAUAGCUGCCAGCCUACGCCACAGCCACAGCAAUGCCAGAUCCGAGCCUCGUCUGUGACCUACACCAUAGCUCACGGCCACGCCGGAUCCUUAACCCACUGAGCGAGGCCAGGGAUUGAACCUGCAACCUCAUGGUUCCUAGUCGGAGUAGUUUCUGCUGCGCCACAGUGGGAACGCCCCUUUUUUCUUUGUUUUUUAAAUUCUGUCUUGGAAUCAUUAUUGCAUGGUUUUUGUGUGUGCUUUGUCUCCCUUCAUGCUUGUAGAGGUGCUGUGAGAUAGCGUUGUAUAGAAGCAGCGGUGCAUGGCUGUUGCUCUGCGUAGAUGGAGGCCGGGCAAGACCUGUGUGCUCUCUGUUCCACAAUGGCUGCUUCCUGCCUGCCUGUCCCGGGGCAGAGUGGGGGGUGUGUGUGUGGGUAAGUGGGUGCUCUGUGAUCUGGAGGAGGCAGAGAUAAGGGAAAGGGACAAUGGAGAAUAAGAAGCUUGGGGCUCUGAGGAGCUGCGGCCUAGGACGGGUGCGCUGCGGCAGGUGGCUGAGGUCUGGCCUUGAGUGAACUUUUUGCAUCGGAACAAAUAUAUUUGGUCAACUAAGCCCUAGUUCUGCCUUUAAUUCUUGAAUUAGAGGUCAGGCAUUCAUUUUUAAUAGUGUAUGGAAAUUCUGAUAAUGGGAAUAGAUUUCUUUCCUUUUAGUUUUCAAGAAGGAACUGAAAAACUGGAUUACACCCUGAUACUUCUGUAGGGUUGUACAAAAUAAGACAGAAUCUGGAUUCAUUUUGUGAUGGUGACUUUACCGAGGUAGAUAUUAUUAUUCUCCAUCAGAAUAUCUAGAAAUACUCUUCCAUUCUCAUUUUUGUCCUCUUAAACUGCUGGAGUGUGCAGAUAAGACAUUUCACAGGAUUGAGAUUUCCUUUGCUCACUUUGCUAAGCCCUGUGUUCUCUGGCUCUUGCAUGCCUGAUUUUUGCUGAUUGCAGGGUCUUAAUAAUGUUUUAAAUUUUCUUCUUUGUCCAAGGGUAUAACUUUACUGUGGAGGGCAAAAUCAUGAUUCUCCAUGGUCUAGGGCUUUUAGGCACUUCUAAACUCCUAAUUUUCAUUUAUGUGGCUUAGUUUCUCCAUUAGACCAUACCAUUAGGGAGUUGUCAUACAGGAGAAAAAGGCGGCUUGACCUUACGGCAGAAACAUCUAAAUGUUUGACAGAUAAAUUUUUUUGGAAAGAAAGUGUGUUUUAGAUAGAGCAUCUAAGCUUUCAGUGCAUUGUAGGGAGAAAGUCCUCUUGAGGCUUCACCCAGUGGUACCAAAGCUGAGACCUCAUGGAGGGUGGCUCUAGGCUCAGUGAAGAGUAGAUUAGAUAAUUGCUUUUGCCCAGUCAACUCAGGCUUUUUUCUGUCUUUGAAUAAAAUAAGCACCAUUCCCUGACUGCUCUAGGAACCAAAUAAAACUUUCAAAAGAGCUGGUUUAGUAGAAAUAAUGUUUACUUUUCAUAGAUUUGUGUGUAUGUUUUUUAAAAAUUCAGUAAAUGGACACAAGACCGUUUGCUAAAAAGCUUGUAUCCAGAAAGGUGAUUUAGAAUUUUUUGUUCAUUUAUCAAAUACCUGAGUACCUCCCCUGUGUCCUGUGUUCUCACCAGACUCUAUGGGAGACUUGCAGAUGCAUCAUCGGAUGUUGACCCUGGUGACGUGGAGCUUGUCCCUCAGUGGGGAGGCAGAUGCUUGGGGCAGGAGGUCAGGUGCGAUCCAGUGUGGAGGAGAGAGCAGUGACCUCUCUCUGAAGGGGAGGGAA
rnacentral:lncRNA from 1 species